AUUGAACGCUGGCGGCAGGCUUAACACAUGCAAGUCGAACGAGUGGCGGACGGGUGAGUAAUGCUUGGGAAUCUUGCUUAUGGAUGGGGAUAACUACGGGAAACUGUAGCUAAUACCGCGUACCAUAGUUUGAGCCCAAGUGGGAUUAGGUAGUUGGUGAGGUAAAGGCUCACCAAGCCGACGAUCCCUAGCUGGUCUGAGAGGAUGCCCGGCCACACUGGGAAUUGGACCCGGGCCAGAACCAUAAGGGAGGCAGCAGUGGGGAAUAUUGGGCAUGGGGGGGAAGCGGAAGCAGCAAGGCCGGGUGAAGGAAGAAGGCCUUCGGGUUGUAAAUUUCUUUCGGUAUUGAGGCGGUAAAUACAGAAGAAGCACCGGCUAACUCCGUGCCAGCAGCCGCGGUAAUUC
rnacentral:rRNA from 1 species